rnacentral:rRNA from 1 species
GAGUAGCUUGCUACUUGCUGACGACCGGCGCACGGGUGCGUAACGCGUAUAGAAUCUACCUUGUACUAGGGGAUAGCCUUUGGAAACGAAGAUUAAUACCCUAUAGUAAGUAUUUAUGGCAUCAUUUAUACUUUAAAGGUUACGGUACAAGAUGACUAUGCGUCCUAUUAGUUUGUUGGUGAGGUAACGGCUCACCAAGACUUCGAUAGGUAGGGGCCCUGAGAGGGGGAUCCCCCACACUGGUACUGAGACACGGACCAGACUCCUACGGGAGGCAGCAGUGAGGAAUAUUGGACAAUGGAGGCAACUCUGAUCCAGCCAUGCCGCGUGCAGGAUGACGGCCCUAUGGGUUGUAAACUGCUUUUAUGUAGGAAGAAACACUCUCACGUGUGAGAGCUUGACGGUACUACAAGAAUAAGGACCGGCUAACUCCGUGCCAGCAGCCGCGGUAAUACGGAGGGUCCAAGCGUUAUCCGGAAUCAUUGGGUUUAAAGGGUCCGUAGGCGGGCUAUUAAGUCA